UCAUCUUCGGGGGUAGAGCACUGUUUCGGCUAGGGGGUCAUCCCGACUUACCAACCCGAUGCAAACUACGAAUACCGAAGAAUGUUAUCACGGGAGACACACGGCGGGUGCUAACGUCCGUCGUGAAGAGGGAAACAACCCAGACCGCCAGCUAAGGUCCCAAAGUCAUGGUUAAGUGGGAAACGAUGUGGGAAGGCACAGACAGCCAGGAUGUUGGCUUAGAAGCAGCCAUCAUUUAAAGAAAGCGUAAUAGCUCACUGGUCGAGUCGGCCUGCGCGGAAGAUGUAACGGGGCUAAACCAUGCACCGAAGCUGCGGCAGCGACACUAUGUGUUGUUGGGUAGGGGAGCGUUCUGUAAGCCUGCGAAGGUGACCUGUGAGGGUUGCUGGAGGUAUCAGAAGUGCGAAUGCUGACAUAAGUAACGAUAAAGCGGGUGAAAAGCCCGCUCGCCGGAAGACCAAGGGUUCCUGUCCAACGUUAAUCGGGGCAGGGUGAGUCGACCCCUAAGGCGAGGCCGAAAGGCGUAGUCGAUGGGAAACAGGUUAAUAUUCCUGUACUUGGUGUUACUGCGAAGGGGGGACGGAGAAGGCUAUGUUAGCCGGGCGACGGUUGUCCCGGUUUAAGCAUGUAGGCUGGUUNAAUCGUACCCCAAACCGACACAGGUGGUCAGGUAGAGAAUACCAAGGCGCUUGAGAGAACUCGGGUGAAGGAACUAGGCAAAAUGGUGCCGUAACUUCGGGAGAAGGCACGCUGGUGUGUAGGUGAAGUCCCUGCGGAUGGAGCUGAGACCAGUCGAAGAUACCAGCUGGCUGCAACUGUUUAUUAAAAACACAGCACUGUGCAAACACGAAAGUGGACGUAUACGGUGUGACGCCUGCCCGGUGCCGGAAGGUUAAUUGAUGGGGUUAUCCGUAAGGAGAAGCUCUUGAUCGAAGCCCCGGUAAACGGCGGCCGUAACUAUAACGGUCCUAAGGUAGCGAAAUUCCUUGUCGGGUAAGUUCCGACCUGCACGAAUGGCGUAAUGAUGGCCAGGCUGUCUCCACCCGAGACUCAGUGAAAUUGAACUCGCUGUGAAGAUGCAGUGUACCCGCGGCAAGACGGAAAGACCCCGUGAACCUUUACUAUAGCUUGACACUGAACAUUGAGCCUUGAUGUGUAGGAUAGGUGGGAGGCUUUGAAGCGUGGACGCCAGUCUGCGUGGAGCCAACCUUGAAAUACCACCCUUUAAUGUUUGAUGUUCUAACGUUGGCCCCUGACCGGGGUUGCGGACAGUGUCUGGUGGGUAGUUUGACUGGGGCGGUCUCCUCCCAAAGCGUAACGGAGGAGCACGAAGGUUAGCUAAUCCUGGUCGGACAUCAGGAGGUUAGUGCAAUGGCAUAAGCUAGCUUGACUGCGAGCGUGACGGCGCGAGCAGGUGCGAAAGCAGGUCAUAGUGAUCCGGUGGUUCUGAAUGGAAGGGCCAUCGCUCAACGGAUAAAAGGUACUCCGGGGAUAACAGGCUGAUACCGCCCAAGAGUUCAUAUCGACGGCGGUGUUUGGCACCUCGAUGUCGGCUCAUCACAUCCUGGGGCUGAAGUAGGUCCCAAGGGUAUGGCUGUUCGCCAUUUAAAGUGGUACGCGAGCUGGGUUUAGAACGUCGUGAGACAGUUCGGUCCCUAUCUGCCGUGGGCGCUGGAGAAUUGAGGGGGGCUGCUCCUAGUACGAGAGGACCGGAGUGGACGCAUCACUGGUGUUCGGGUUGUCAUGCCAAUGGCACUGCCCGGUAGCUAAAUGCGGAAGAGAUAAGUGCUGAAAGCAUCUAAGCACGAAACUUGCCCCGAGAUGAGUUCUCCCUGAGACUUUAAGUCUCCUGAAGGAACGUUGAAGACGACGACGUUGAUAGGCCGGGUGUGUAAGCGCAGCGAUGCGUUGAGCUAACCGGUACUAAUGAACCGUGAGGCUUAACCUUACAACGCCGAAG
rnacentral:rRNA from 1 species